GGGGACAAUACCUGCUUGGAAGGAAAGUUGCAGAGGAAUAGGCAGAAGGAACGAUCCCUGCCGGUAAGGAGAGCUGCAGCCUGUUCGGGUGGAAGAGCUCCGUAGAGACCCCAGUCAAGCUGCGGUGACUGGGGUUGAAGCGUGUGGCGAAACCGGCCUCGCCACGUGUCUUUGGAGGGGGCUGCUUGCCCGCCUCUUGCCUUUGGACUAUGGACCAGACUUUAUGUGAAGGUAUUAACCCAGAUAGCUAUGCCAUG